GGCGGGCGUGGUGGCGCGAGCCUGUAGUUCCAGCUACUCGGAAGGCUAAGGUGGGAGGGUCGUUUGAAUCCAGGAGUUCCGGGCUGCGGUGCGCUAUGCCGAUCGGGUGUCCACACUAAGUUAGGCAUCAAUAUGGCCACCUCGCGGGAGCGGGGGACCACCAGGGUGCCUAAGGAGGGGUGAACCGGCCCAGGUCGGAAUGGAGCAGGUCCAAACUCCCGUGCGGAUUAGAAAUGAAGAAUACGGAAAGCUGUUUAGAUUUUCUUUUAAAAAGGGGGAUUUAAAAUUGU
rnacentral:SRP_RNA from 1 species